AAGGUUUUAAGUUAAAUAAACUAAUAGCCUUCAAAGCUAAAAAUAAAUUUUUUUUUAAACCUUA
rnacentral:tRNA from 1 species